rnacentral:rRNA from 1 species
GACGAACGCUGGCGGCGUGCCUAAUACAUGCAAGUCGGACGCAGUUGCGAACGGGUGAGUAACGCGCAGGGAACUGCCUAUAAGAGGGGGGUAACUAUUGGAAACGAUAGCUAAUACCGCAUACUAGUAGAUGGACCUGCGGUGUAUUAGCUAGUAGGUAGGGUAAUGGGCUAACUAGGCGACGAUACAUAGCAGACCUGGGAAGGUGGUCCGGCCCACUGGGACUUAGACACGGGCCAGGCUCCUACGGGAGGCAGCAGGAGGGAAUUUUCCGCAAUGGGGCGAACCCUGACCGCGGAAAGGCGCGUGAGUGAAGAAGGUUUUUGGGUCUUUAAGCUCUGUUUUUAAGGGAGCGGUACUUAACCAGAAAGGGACGGCUAACUACGUGCCAGCAGCCGCGGUAAUAC